AAUAAAGUGCCUGAAAAAGGAUUAUUCUGAUAGGAUAAAUCAUGUAAAUUAUUUACCUUUAUUA
rnacentral:tRNA from 1 species